AUGGACUCCAGCCCACCCCCAGAGGGACCCUUGCCCGGCCCCCAGCCCCGGCCCCACAGCACCACAUGGAGGACGCGACACGCAUGGCUCUGGGGAGACAGGUAUCCCAUGGAGGAGGUGUUGACCGGAGCCCUCUGCGGACCGGAGGAGGUGCCCGUGGGCUCACUGACCGCCGACCCCAGAGGGGCACACACCAAGAGACGGAAGGGGCCGAGGGGCCGAAGGCAGGUGUCGAGAUGGAAUUGGAGUGGUGGACAGAGGAGGCUCCCGGGACCCCCGGCCUCUGGUCUGGUGGCCAAGAGGGUCCUUGUGCUGGCCAGUGAGAAGCAGCAACAGGUCCCCAGGGGACCUGUGGGGCCAAGAGCAAGAGCGGGCGGAUGAGAGGUGUGAGGGCUCCAGAAAUCCCUCUGCCCCCCCUCCGCCCCCCACGGCCCUCUGCCUUUGCCUGGGUCAGCGGGACCCCGGUCCCGCUCGGACACAGGCUCUGGGAAGGCACCCAGAGAAAGAGAAGAGAUGGAGAGAACUGGGAGCCGGCCCGGGGGCCUGCCCUGCGCACACUCGCGGCCUCCGAAUGCUGGCGGCCAGGGCCCAGGACGCGGCCUGGGGCACCCGGUCCGGUCCACCCCGCUGGAUUCGGAUGGGCGUCGCAGAGCACAAGGACGCAGAGGGGUUUGUGGCCCGGGGGAGGGCGGCGGAGGGCAGAA
rnacentral:lncRNA from 1 species